GGUUCGAUCAUGGCUCAGAUUGAACGCUGGCGGGAUGCUUUACACAUGCAAGUCGAACGGCAGCACGACUUCGGUCUGGUGGCGAGUGGCGAACGGGUGAGUAAUGUAUCGGAACGUGCCUGGUAGCGAGGAUAACUACGCGAAAGCGUAGCUAAUACCGCAUACGCCCUUCGAGGAAAGCGGGAGGACAGCCGGGCUCGCACUGGCUGGAAGCGGCCGAUAUCGGAUUAGCUAGUUGGUGGGGUAACGGCUCACCAAGGCGACGAUCCGUAGCUGGUUUGAAGGACGACCAACCACACUGGGACUGAGACACAGCCAGACUCUACGGGAGGCAGCAGUGGGAAUUUUGGACAAUGGAAACCCUGAUCCAGCCAUCCCGCGUGUGCGAUGAAGGCCUUCGGGUUGUAAAAGCACUUUUGGCAGGAAAGCAGCUGCAGGAUAUAAUACCCCGUGCAACUGACGAAACACCUGCAGAAUAAGCACCAGAAGCUAACUACGUGCCAGCAACCGCGGUAAUACGUAGGUGCAAGCGUUAAUCGGAAUUACUGGGCGUAAAGCGUGCGCAGGCGGUUGGAAAGAUGCCGAAAAUCAGAGCUUAACUUUUGGAACUGCAUUUUAACUACCGAGCUAGAGAGUGUGUCAGAGGAGGUGGAAUUCCGCGUGUAGCAGUGAAAUGCGUAGAUAUGCGGAGGAACACCGAUGGCGAAGGCGGCCUCUACUGGGAUAACACUGACGCUCUCGCUUUUUGGCGUAGAACAAGCAAGUUAGAUACCCUGGUAGUCCACGCCCUAAACGUGUCAACUAGCUGUUGGGGCCUUCGGGCCUUGGUGGCUGGCUAACGCGUGAAGUUGACCGCCUGGAGAUACGGUCGCAGAUUAAAACUCAAAGGAAUUGACGGGGACCCGCACAGGCGGUGGAUGAUGUGGAUUAAUUCGAUGCAACGCGAAAACCUUACCUACCCUUGACAUGUCUGCAGAAUCCCGAAGAGAUUUGGGAGUGCUCGCAAGAGAACCGGAACACAGGUGCUGCAUGGCUGUCGUCAGCUCGUGUCGUGAGAUGUUGAUUAAGUCCCGCAACGAGCGCAGCCCUUGUCAUUAGUUGCUACGAAGGGCACUCUAAUGAGACUGCCGGUGACAAACCGGAGGAAGGUGGGGAUGACGUCAAGUCCUCAUGGCCCUUAUGGGUAGGGCUUCACACGUCAUACAAUGGUCGGAACUGAGGGUCGCCAACCCGCGAGGGAGCCAUCCAGGCCGAUCGUAGUCCGGAUCACGCAGUCUGCAACUCGACUGCGUGAAGUCCAGAUCGCUAGUAAUCGCGGAUCAGCAUGUCGCGGUGAAUACGUUCAGGUGCGUACACACGCCCGUCACACCAUGGGAGUGGGUUUUACCGAAGUAGUUAGCCUAACCGUAAGGAGGGCGAUUACCACGGUAGGAUUCAUGACUGGGGUGAAGUCGUAACAAAGG
rnacentral:rRNA from 1 species